UACGUAGGGGGCAAGCGUUGUUCGGAAUUACUGGGCGUAAAGGGUGCGCAGGCCGCGCGGGCAGUCAAAUGUGUAAUCCAGGGGCUCAACCCCUGAACUGCGCUUGAUACUUCCGCGCUCGAGCUUUGGAGAGGAGUCUGGAAUUCUCGGUGUAGCAGUGAAAUGCGUGGAUAUCGAGAAGAACACUUAGGGCGUAGGCAAGACUCUGGACAAAUGCUGACGCUCAUGCACGAAGGCUAGGGUAGCGAACGGG
rnacentral:rRNA from 1 species